rnacentral:misc_RNA from 1 species
AUGAGUUCUCUGCAACAAGGUAGCAGAUUCUUACCUUUUUCAAAUAAUAAUAUACAAAGGAAGCAACUAUCAAUGCAAGGUGGUCUUCCACAAAGUUUAAGUGGCAGUGAAACUGAUGUUUCAACUUCAAAUGAGAAUUUAACCAAUGAAGAUCGCUAUGUUAUAAGACAUACAGCUCGUCAAGAACCUCAAGGUCAAGAAAAUCAACAGCAAAGUCCAUCCAGAUCUUCCAGUCAUAAAGAAAAUAUACCAAAUAUACAAGGUAACCUGCUCAACAGAAACAGUUUGAAGGACAGUCUGAAUGGUUCAAACAGGAACAGUUUGAAAGAGAAUUUGAAUGGUUCUAAUCGAAAUAGCCUUAAAGACAGCAUUAAUGGUUCUAAUAGAAAUAGUUUGAAAGAUAAUUUAAGUAAUCGUACCAGUGUAGGUUCGAAUAGAAGUAGCUUAGAUGUAUCUACAAGCUCCUACAACACGCUUAUUAUACACAAUGCUAAUGAUGAUAACUCAUGGGUACCAACUGGAAGGUUGUCAGGUGUAGUACGAGAACAUGGAGAUAUGGCUUACCUAUAUUGUGAUGGUGGAGGAAAAGGACAUUCAAAUAGUCCCACUAUGCAGUCUUUAUCAAAUUUAUCUCAUGAAGAUCAUGUUUAUGAACAACCUAAUAACGGAGGAUGUCAAGAAAUUACAGACAUACCAGACGAUUAUCUUAGUCAAUCACAGGUAUUAAAACAUCUUGCAAAAGAAGUUAAAGUACCAUCUUACAGUAAAUUAACGAAUAAUGGAGGAAAUAUUGAUAUGAGAAUGAGAGAUAGCGAUAGAGGGAAACAAAAUGAUAGUGAAUCAGAAGACAGACCACCACCUUCAUAUAUGUCUGUUUUGUUACCAUUAAAAAAUAAAUCUCGACUUCUUGGGCCAAUUGAAAAGUUAACAUUGUCAAGAUCACAACCUGACUUGUCUAGAAUCGGCAAACCAGAUAUUGAUAACUACAAUUUGCGGGCCACAUCUCCACGACCUCAGACAAAAGGGAGAGAAGAGACGGAAUCUGCAACAGGUGAAAUUUGGGCACCAUCAGAAAUGAUACAAAUUGUAAUUCAAGAGAAUAGUGCUUUAAAAUUAGAGUUAGAACGAUGUUAUAGCAAAGUUGCUAAAUCUCAAAAGUUGGAACAAGAAAUCACGAAAGUACACAGGGCUCAUGAGGAAUUGGCGGCGUCAAGCGAACGAAGAGAGAAACUAGAACGAGCUGCUAGAUUGAGGUUACAAAAUGACUGCAGACGAUUAACCGAAUUAAAUCGCGCGUUGAGAGAUCAAAUAGAUUUAUUAUCAGCACGUACAGAUAGCCCGCCGAUCGUAGAAUCUAUGAGGAAAGAAUUGACGCAACGAGAAUUAUUAAUUGGCCAAUUGAUUACACAGAAUAAAGAAUUAGCCGCAGCGAAAGAAAGGCAGGAAAUCGAAUUAGCAGCACAACGAGCAACUUUACAGGAGCAGCGUACACACAUAGAUAUUCUAGACACUGCUCUUACUAAUGCACAGGGCAAUGUAGUACGUCUUGAAGAAGAGUGUCGGAAAAAGCAAGUAUACGUAGAAAGAGUAGGCCAACUUCAACGAGCUUUGUCUUCUCUUCAAGCGUCUAGCGAUAGAAGAGAAGAAACAGAGAGACAGUUGAGAGGUCAAUUAGAACGGGAGUUAAGAGAAGGCGGCGGCGGUGGUGGCGGUGGUGUUAAUGGUAAUGAACAAUCUUCCAAUGGAGAAACGAUCGCAGAGUUAAAACGACGAAUACGCGAAAGAGACGAAAAAAUUAUGUCACUCGAGGGUGAUGUUGCGAAAUGGGAACAGCGUUAUCUCGAGGAAAGUGCACUAAGGCAAGCGGCAAUUGAUGCAGCUAGUCUACCAAAGGACGCCAAGAUAGCUGCGUUAGAAAAAACGAGUCAAGAUGCCGAGAAAUUAAUUGCAGAGGCACGCUCCGAGAAAAUGAGACACAUGGAUGAAGUACAUGCUGCACAAAAGAAAUUGGCUGAUCUUGAAUCUAGAAUGAAGGAUCUAGAAUCAAAAUUAGCCGAAAGAGAUGCAAUGAUUAGAGUCCUUCAAAAACAUACGUAUGAUAAGGAUAGUAGUAGCAGUAGCGGUGUUGGUAGUUAUCCUGCUGCACACUCGUCUCAUUCAAGUACAUCAGCGGAUCACCACACUGCGUUAACAAGCACGCCAGAACUUGUAAGCAGUGUCUUGGGUGGUGGUAGUGGUUAUGGAAGUACUGGUUCGUAUGGUGUUACGGACAGUUACAAAUAUAGGAAGCAAGGCAGCUUCGAGCAAACGAAUAAAAGUCUCGAUGAUCAAUUAAAAGAACUAGACUCCCAGCUACUUAGUAAGCGGGCACUUUGCUGUUUUCCAGGAUUCUCUAAUCCAGGCACUGCGUCGCGAAAAGGAAAAAUACCCAAGCCAUUAUUGGCGGGUGUAGAUAGCACAGGUACCUCGAGCACCGCCUCAAGCAAGAGUCGCCUAUUAGACGACUCCGGUGGCGAGGUCUCGCCGGGUAUCAUGGAAUUUGCGAGUGCAGCCUCGAGGCUGAAAGGCACUGUAUCGAGAUUAUCAGACGGUAAGCCCGAAGACAUGAUGCUGCUGGAGAAGCAGGGCAGAAGCUCGCAGAGACAGAGGAUGCAGGAGGGCGAGCCACGUCGCGCGGGCAGUCUUCCUCCUAGUUCGUUACCGCGGCCACCGAAGAAUCUGAAGUCCACGAGCUCGCGUUACUGCAGACUCAGCGACACGGAGACUCGCAAGAAGUCCGAUCCGGGUCCAGCUUUGGACUCCUCUGCGAGCAUGAAGGUGCGCGAUACGAGCAACUGCACCAUCGAGUACGGUAGAUUCGACACGAAGGCUCAGCGCCGAAAGAAAUCGUCUGCCACGGAGCCGUUGGUGGUGAAUAACUCGCUGAAGAAGCCGUCGUCUACCACGAGCCACGAGUACGAGCGCCUGCAGGGUGAAAAUGUUCGCAAGAAACAGCCAUGCAAUUCGGAAACGAAGCACAGGGAAACGCAGAGUCGCUCGCUGAUACCGCCGCCGUCUCGUCGCAUCGGAGAGUACGGUCGUCUGAGUGAGGGCACGUUGAGGAAGCAAACUGGUUCACGGGGUCAGAGCACCGGAAGCACGGUGAGCAGCAAGAGCGGAGGACGCGAUUCUGGGGGCACAGCUAGCAGCGAGGCGUCCACGUCAUCGUUGCCUCCUUCCAAAGCGAGAUCCAUACCUCGCCCGAGCAAUUACCGCAUUCAGUUUUAACUUGUAUCGCUUGGAACCGGGUUAGUCUUCCCUAUCUAAAGAGAGUGUCCUCCCAAGAGACGUUCUCUCAGAGGAGCGUAUAACGAGCAACUGGAGGGAUACAAUUUUCCGUACUUUAUCUUCCACGUAUGAGAACCUUUUUUACCAAACAUUGCGGAUGUCAGAGCAGCGCAGCAGGAUCGAAUGGUGAAAUUACUGAAUGGAAGCGAGCGGUAAACGUGGAAUAGAAUGGGCGGCGGCAGAUCGGGGAUUAAUAAGAGAAGGAAAAAUCAAAAGUGAGACCGGUUUCAAGAGCGUCUCUGCCUCGUCCUUCAGUGGUUCGGAUCCUAUCUAGAGUCCUAAUGUACGUAUGCGCGAGCAAUACGUGUACACAGCCAUAAUAUUAAAACGAUGCGUUAGUUUCCUUUACUACCAUUAAUAACGGAAAAGCGAAGCCGAUCGCACGACAUAGCGAGAAACCACGGUAUAUCGUUGCGUAGCGAUAGCGCAUGACCUAGUCAUUACCAAAGUAACUUCUGUAACGAAAAACGGAAUUGAUUUCCUCUCGUUUCGUACGCACCUACAUCUAGGAACAUUGCGGCUUUUGUCGAAUAAUAUAUUCGUAUGAUGCGCGAAAAACAAGUGCCUUGUCAAAGACUGCGUGGAAAAAGGAAAAGAAAAAGAAAAAAAAUAAAACAAUCGGUACAACUAGAAAUAAGAGUACGUUCAGGAAUUUUCAGAAUUCCGGAGGACGCUGGUUCUUCGGAUCAAGUCGACGACCUCGUGGCCCCCUAAAUGGUCGCGUUAUUUUUCGAAUAUGUAUUUUAUCCUUUCGCUAAGAUUAUCGUAUUUCUGCGCGUGCCUUAUGAAAGCAUU